UACGAAGGGGGCUAGCGUUGCUCGGAAUCACUGGGCGUAAAGGGUGCGUAGGCGGGGCUUUAAGUCAGGGGUGAAAUCCUGGAGCUCAACUCCAGAACUGCCUUUGAUACUGAAGAUCUUGAGUUCGGGAGAGGUGAGUGGAACUGCGAGUGUAGAGGUGAAAUUCGUAGAUAUUCGCAAGAACACCAGUGGCGAAGGCGGCUCACUGGCCCGAUACUGACGCUGAGGCACGAAAGCGUGGGGAGCAAAUAGG
rnacentral:rRNA from 1 species